GUGAUUUUCUUUAAAAUGAGUGUGCGUGUGUCCAUAGUGGAGCCAGUAUGUGACCAGAUAAUGUUGCAUAUCGGACCAGUUGUGGGGAACUAAACCAAUAGACAUCACAAGUGCAUGACGAGACUUAAUCUCUCUCUGUGUGUGUGUGUGUGUGUGUGUGUGUGUCUGUGUGUGACUGUCUGUGUGUGUAUGUCUGUGUGUUCAUAGGAAGUAUGAUGUGGGGCAGGAUUUGGGAGGGAUGUGGGGCAUUGUCUUUUUAUUGUUUUAUAUUGUUUGUUUUUAAGCACUUUGUGUUACUUUUUGUAUGAAAAGUGCUAUAGAAAUAAACUUUGAUUGAUUGAUUGAUUGAUGGAUCGGGACUAGAUUGCCCUACAGAGGCUAAAGACUCUUUACAGGACGAGACUGUCCUCCUUGAAAAAACCACCACAUAGGUCGUUUGUACACGCCCCUCAUUACGACCGAAUAUUACGUUUUGAAGUUAAGCGACCUCUAGCGGUUGAGUAAAUAUCGACACUCCGGUGUCUCAGCUGAAACGUCACCAUGAACACGUCACACGUAACUUUGACCUUCUUCACCAAUCAAAAAACGGCUACUCAGAGGCAACAAACACUGCACUGAUGGCUUCUGACAACUUCAGACAGUGGCUGGAGAUGGGAAAAGCAUUGGCAGAUGAGUUUGCAUCAAAAAAAACCAUCAAAGAAUGAUAUGAUUGGUUUCAUGGACAGUUUAUUUAAAACCACACUUGACCUCGCUCAGGAUGAAGACCUUGGAAUUCAGCGGGCUCACCGAGCCCUGGCGCAGAGGCCAACUGACGCUAAUGCGAGGCCCCGCUCCAUCGUGCUCAGAUUCGGAAGCUACCGUAUGAAAGAGGAGGUGCUCAGGCGGGCAUGGCAGAAGAAAGAGCUGCUGUGUGACAAUGUACGGUUUUACGUUGAAAAUGACUUUCCUCCAGAGGUUCUGAAGAAACGCAGUGAGUACGCUGAAGCCAAGAGAGUCCUGAGAGCUAAAAACAUUAAGUUUCAAACACCAUAUCCUGCAAAGAUACGAAUCUUUUAUCCAGACGGCAACAGACUGUUCCAAGACGCUACGGAGGCGACGAAAGACAUGGCUUCACGAGGGUACCCAGUCAACGUGGUUAAGCCCACAGCUGAUCCAGCCCAGAGGAGCUCCAACACCUGUCCACCUGGCAAACGGCGGGGAGACGGCGCGGCCGGAGCGGAGAUGCGGAGCCCGACACGGAGGACUGGGACAACACACGGCUUAAGAAAAAUCAGCGUUUCCAGUGUAAAGAAAAGCUCAAAGAAUUCAGAAGGCAAUCCCCUAUGGACAAAGACUGGUGAUCUAUAGUCCCUUUAAUAUGAAGACCUUAUCUGCAGCCUGUAAGUAAUGAACAUUUACUGAUAAGCCGAGACGCACUUUUCACAGCAAUGUGUGAAUUCUACAUUACUGCUCUGUAUCUAAAUGAGUCGGGACUCGUGAGUUGGCGAAUUGUCUUCGGCCUAUACACUAAAAACUAGGGCCCCACGACCGAUGCUGUUGCGUGGGACACCCCCUAACGAGAGUUUUGUUCUCUCAAAACCCCACAGGGCUCCUCCUUUACGAGCCUCUAACUCAGACACGUUUGUAGGAAACCCGUUUCCAAAGUUUAUGUUCAAAACUGUUUUAUAUAUGUUCCUGUUGUUCCUUUGGGAGAGAGUUUUGUUGUGUACAGCUUUAAUACUACUUAAAAUUCAUGAGAAGGCUUUGAUUUCUGUCAAAUCAUAUAUAAAUGAAUAAGCAGAUCCUUAAAGUUACACACGUGGACAAAAUUGUUGGUACCCCUCAGUUAAAGAAGGAAAAACCCACAAUUCUCACUGAAAUCACUUGAAAC